rnacentral:lncRNA from 1 species
AAACGGAAGGUGGCACAUGGAACCACGGCUGUGGUCUCCAAAGGAAAGAAGGCCCGCCUUGAGGUUGGUAAUUUCUCAGUGAAAUAUGUACUUGUUUUUUGGUUGAAACACAGGAACAACUAUUUUCUGAUUUCGCCUUUAACACAAGAGAUAGUCCAACAUUCUCUGUGUAGGUAUUGUUUUGCCAAUGAUUUACAAUUAUUUUCCAGGCACUUUAUUUUGCCAAACCUUCGAAGCUGGUACCUCCCCCUCGACCUGUUCCAGAAGCUGCUGUACCAGCUACUCUGGAGGGCGUACCUCCUCCUCGACCUGUUCCAGAAGCUGCUGUGCCAGCCACUCUGGAGGGCAGCGUCUUUGUGCAUUCGAGCAAGUUUGCUCAACCGGAGGGGGAUGACAAGACUCUGUGUGUUGAUGAGUGGCCGUUUCUUCAAACAGAGUUUUGUGAGGUAAGGGAAUGGGGGAAAAAGAGAGCAUCUUGUAAUAAUUUAAUAUUUGGGUUUUGUUGUUAAAUUUGUAUGUAGCGCCACAAAAUACAGGCAUGCACAACACUAUGUUUGUUACUGUUUUAAAUAAACUACAUUAGCAGUAAGUUCUUUGAACUGCCCACUUUUCAAUUUUCAUGCAAUUGUAUCUCAUGAUAAUUUUGCUCCCUUACCUCAUUGUUGAAGGUGAACCAGCCAACUGCUCGGGUUGUCUCUGGACAGAGAAAACAAGAGGAGCCAACACCUUGGGGUCCAAAAGUUGUGAUGGCCCAGGCUGAUAAACCAACAGCCAAUGAGACCAGCUUCUUGGGGUGUUCAACCAAGGUAAUGACAACAAUAUAAAAAAUGAUUUGCAAAUAAGCAAUCAAUCUGUUCCAGGAUCAGUAUCUAGUAACAUUUACAUUAUUACUUCAUAAUUACAAUCAACAUAGUUUAACUGUUUUUAACAUGUUCUUGGUAAUAUCUACACACUAUGAAUUGGAAAUGUCAAGAAGGUUGGCUGAUGAACUUGUUGUGCUCAUUUUAAUUAUUUAAACUGAACUGAAAUAAAAGUUUUCUUUGUCCUUAAUUCUGUUCACCACAAUACACUAAAUGUCCCCUUUUCUAUGGCUAAUGAGUUUGCAUGUAGGGGUAAACCUCAAUUUUUUAACAUUCGUAAUGUUUGUGAUUGCAGAUGACACACAUUGAGGACCACGAGCCGUUUGAACCAGCACCUGAGGUCACUGCGAGCAGUCAGCAGGUAUGUAAUUACUAGUGGAAAAAUUGUAUACCAACGGGAAAAGCCACAGCUUAAGAGACCCAUUUUGUUUUGAUGUGUUUAUUCUUUUAAAACAUUGAUAUGGUGUAAGUGUGCAGUU